rfam:Macaca mulatta 1099214588068, whole genome shotgun sequence.
GGCGGGGCCGAGGGGCUGAGCCCGCUGGGGGAGGGAACAGCGUUUAUGACGUGACGUGGUUUCAGUGUUUACACGCGCAGCGGUCUUUUAGGGUUCGGCCUCAGUCAGGCGCUCAGCUCCGUUUCGGUU